rnacentral:sRNA from 1 species
AUUCUGCCCAUGCGGGAAGGAUGAGAGGCUUCGACCAAGGUUCGACUCGAGUGCCAGAGAGAGCGUGCAGGCAACGACCCGUAGGGCGAAGCGCGCAGCGCUGAGUAAUCCUUCCCCACCACCA